CAGUAGCCACGGUAAUACAGAGGGUGCAAGCGUUAAUCGGAAUUACUGGGCGUAAAGCGCGCGUAGGUGGUUUGUUAAGUCGGAUGUGAAAUCCCUGAGCUUAACUUAGGAAUUGCAUUCGAUACUGGGAAGCUAGAGUAUGGGAGAGGAUGGUAGAAUUCCAGGUGUAGCGGUGAAAUGCGUAGAGAUCUGGAGGAAUACCGAUGGCGAAGGCAGCCAUCUGGCCUAAUACUGACGCUGAGGUACGAAAGCAUGGGGAGCAAACAGGAUUAGAUACCCGUGUAGUCCCUGUCUCUUAUAC
rnacentral:rRNA from 1 species